AGGAUCAAAGCUCAGUGGUAGAGCAUCUUCUUUGCAUGCAGAAGGUCCCAGGUUAAAUCCUUGAUGUCUCCA
rnacentral:tRNA from 1 species